rnacentral:lncRNA from 7 species
AGCUGGGUCUGGCUUUUAGGAGUAGCAUGCCUGCCUAAAUUGCUGCACUUAAUCUCCUCCCAUCCUUUGAAGGAAAGUUCCAGUUCCUGCAGAUGUCCUUUGUUAGGAAGAAAUGGAAGUUUUCUGCCUUUUAAUCCAAGGUACUGUAAACUGCAAGCACUCAUCGACAGCAGAAUGAACUUUCCUGUGAGUACAAACUCAUCAUUCAGCUCUAAUGAUCCAGAGGAAAGUUUCAGACUAAUCCAUACAGGAAAAACGGCCGUGUCACCUCAGGACGUCAGUCAGAAUAGGAACUCUGUGCAAGGUCAUCCCGGUGGGAAGGAGCAGCCCUGUUUGUUCGUGAAGAAGCACCUAAUGUGUUCAAGGCCAGGUUUUGAAGCCAAGACCAUUGGUCCUGCCAAAGUGAAGAGUAUGUGCCCAGGUGAUCCCAAAGUCCACGUGAGUCCUGUGGAAUUCAGGAGUGGAUGUGAAGUCCUCACAGAGAGCCUCACAGAAAAAUAAAAUGAUACGGAACAUAAAGCGUCCGGUUAUUCACUCAAUUAUCUUCUCAACAGCGGAAUGUCCUUAUCACAAAAGAAAACAAUGGAAGGAAAUCACCUUUCUCAUGAAAACUGCUGAGAGAUUCCCCACUGCAAGGAGAAAACUGGUGACAGAAGGGCUCUGCAUCAAAAAGUAAAGGGAGAACACGGGAGAAAACGACCCUCCUGCACCCAGAUUUUGUCACUUGAUCUAUGUGGAUUGGGAAAGUUAGCAUAAGUUCAUCUGAUUUACGCCUCCAGAAACAUCGCAGCCAUGCUCACUUGGUUUGAUCAGUGUCACUCAUGGGACCUACGUACCCCUGUGCCUCCCCUGGUGUUCUCUGAGCAACGUGAGUAGACGGACAGCUUGGGAAACUUCAGGAACGAAGGAGAAGAUGUUUAAGGGCAGAAAGUGAGGCAUAAGUUUAAUCAGUACAAAAUAUACCAGACAGUCUUUUAGUAUACGUAAUCUAGGAUGACGCCGAUGCUGACUGUGGGUCCAGGUGUUGGCUGUGAGCUGAAGGGAGUGUGGGGGCAAUGUGUUCAGUUUAUGGACUCCCUGGAGAGGAGUGCAGGUACAAAGUCCUGAAUCACUCUCACUGUGGUUUGUUUUUUGUUUUCCAUAUGAUUUUAUGGUUAAAAAUGAGAAAAGAUUUGCUAAGUCUAUCUAUGUAAAUUUCUCAUCUCCAAACCUGUAAUUCCAUAUUUUCCAUUUAAAGAACAGUUUUUCCUUUUUAUUUUAAGUAAACAAACAAAUAAAUAGAAAAUCAAGCCCC